rnacentral:rRNA from 1 species
UACGUAGGGGGCUAGCGUUGUCCGGAUUUAUUGGGCGUAAAGAGCGUGUAGGCGGCUUGGCAAGUCUGCUGUGAAAACUCGAGGCUCAACCUCGAGCUGUCGGUGGAAACUGCUUGGCUAGAGUCCGGAAGAGGAGAGUGGAAUUCCUGGUGUAGCGGUGAAAUGCGCAGAUAUCAGGAAGAACACCUAUGGUGAAGGCAGCUCUCUGGGACGGUACUGACGCUGAGACGCGAAAGCGUGGGGAGCGAACAGG